AGAACUGGGUGUUGGAGAGCAACAAAGCUCUGUCUGCAGCUCCUUAAUUGAUGUGAGAACAGCUGCAGCUGUCCUGCACUGCAUGGUGGGCAGCCCUGAGGACCCUUAUGCUUGGCUGCUGCAGCUGUCGGGUACGGAGCACGGAGGGCUGCCCGGCCCAUGGCAGCAGUGCCCGAGGAGCAGCUCCCUGCAGCACCGUGCUGCAGCACGGCGGGGCUGCGGCGCCAUCCGGGUGAGCUGGGGUGAGGGAUGAGCUCGCAACAAGCCCCGCAAAGGGACUAAUUAAGCACCUUAUUCCCAGUCCCUGGCACACGGAAGGAGUAACGACAGGAAGAGCUGA
rnacentral:lncRNA from 1 species